AUCACCUAUGUAGGACUGAAUGACCUGCAGGAAGAAGGGACCUACAGAUGGGUUGCAGAUGGCACCAUCCACGAAAUCUUUGAAUCAUGGUGGGGUAAAGGCCAACCCGAUAACUACGGUUCACGACAACACUGUGUCGUUUUCUAUUUCCACCAAGAAUAUCGCUUCAGUGAUGUCUGUUGUGUCAAUGAGUACAGAUAUAUCUGCGAGAAACUUGCCCAACUGGAUUGGAACUCUACUUCAGUGUCAGAAUAAGAAAUGCCCACAGACAAUGAAAUGGAACAUGCAUUAGGACUAAGAAUUCCUUCCAAGUGUCUACAUAAAGUGAAAUUGCCUGCUUUUUAUGUGCUUGCAUUUCUUAAGCUGUAUCCUGUGGUACAACUUCAUAGUUCAUGUUAACAUUUCUUCAAUUAACAGUAAUAUAAGAGCAAUAUUUAGGUUUUACUCACAAAUUGAUAUACUGUACCUGUUUUAGAAAGGGGUCCUUUUGGUUACAAGCCACCCUCCACAGUAGUUUUCAUGUGGAACGUAAGUACUAUAAAGCUAUCUGAUACCCAUUUGUUAAGAGAACUGAAGUGCUCUGUGAAACAAGUUUCUUUCCAAGUAGUUUCUCUGUGAUGCCUUACUCUCCCUCUCUCCAGGUGAGCACGAUUUCAGUCUUCCAGGAAAGUGCAGACACUUGAGUCUUUGUGUUUCUGUAAAGUGCUCUAAUUCAUAGAUUACACUAAAAAUAAUGCAAGUAUUUUCAAGAUGCAUUUUUAAAAUAAUACCUUACACAACUGUGCAUACUUAGGUUCCCAUUCUCUUUCAUAGGGGAUGUCUCCUUCAAUUGGACGAGCAGACUUCAUCCUGUAUCCCACAGGCAGCCUGCAACCAAUUUCUGGUUCAUUUCUUGCUUGGAACAUUUUCAGAUAUCUUUGUAGGAUGCGUGCAUGCUGCAAUGCAGAAGUUACCCAAGCAAAUUUGCAACUAAACAUUCCUGUUGUUAGAGACAUAAAACUACAUUUUGAAUUCCCUACAAAAACAGGCAAGCAAUACUCCAUUGAGACAAAAAAUUUCCUAAAAUCUGUGAAAAAAAUCAGUCAUGGAUCAAGGAAAUAUACUGCAUGCUCAACUACAGUAGCUCUUUUAUCUCAUUUCUUUCCAAUAUACUCUACUUUGUUUUUUCACUAACACUACUUCAAGAAUAAGGCCAGACAUGCAAAUCAUAAUUAGUAUUCUAUUUUCAUAUUCUGAGUACCAUCCUGCAUUUAUGUAACGUCUCACCCAUC